CAUUUUCGGAAACGGAAACUGACGGAAGUUGGCUGUGCUGGAUCUGGCGAAUGCGGUCUGUGUUCGAAUCUGUGGAAUCCUGCGCCUAACGGUGUAAGCGGCGCGAGUUGUGCCCUUUGGCAGCGCGCGGCAGGAUGUUGGUUGCCGGGGCCGUCUGCGUGCAACUCAGACUCGGCAACAUCAAGGACUGCUUCCUGCACCUGGCCCCUCAGCGAGCAUCGCAACUUCAUCUGGAGGAGUGCCAAGCCAUUGAGUUGUCCUGGGGUCUUCAGCAGACUGCAUUCUUAAGUUGGGUUGGACGAAGAAAUACUGGUUUUGAAGAAGAAAAUGUUGUAGAGAUUAACAGACAAUUAGGAAUUAAACUUGGGCUCAAAGAUGGAGAACAGGUAUUUCUCAGGCCCUGUGCACAAGUCUCAUCCUGUCAACAAGCUGUUGUGGAACCUCUUUCACCUGGUGACUGGGAAAUACUGGAGCUUCAUAGUACAUCACUUGAAAGAUAUAUUAUGGAUCAGAUCAGAGUAGUUUAUCCUGGAGGAAUAUUUCCAAUAUGGAUCGAGAAACGUACUGUGAUAUAUAUUGAAGUUGGUUCCCUGACGCCUGCUGCUGCUUAUGGAAGGUUGGAGCCUUUCACUGAACUUGUUGUGUCACCUAAAUUGCGGCAAAUUGAAGGAGCUCAUUUGAAUACUACUUCUGUUGAAUAUCGUUUGUUAUAUAAGGAGGCUAACUUGGGCAGCAGCAAAAUUAAUGGAAAUUUUGAGAAACCAAGAAUUGCGCAUCCUUCUAAGAGCCCAUAUGCUCGACAUGAAAUAAAUGAAAAACAUGCAAGGGAAAAUCAAGACUCUUUCAACAGAAGCAUUGUGUCAAAUAUAUGGUAUUUGAUUAAAAAUAUAUUUGCUGUAAAUUCAGAUGUUCCAGGCACACUUCCUUCCAAAGUUGUUUGCAAACAUACGUUUUUAAACACUGUUUCCACAUCCUUUGAAAUCGACUCAAUAUUCAGAGUGUGCAAAAGAUUCCCUAGUAAUUUAGAAAUGUGUGGCUCAACACUUUGGAACCAAAGUCAGCCUGAUACAGUUCACAUCUUUUCUUGGAAUCAAGAUGUACUUCCUCUUAACAACAGUGAUACACUGAUUAUUUAUGGGAAGCUGACAAAACUAUUGUCACAUAAACAACAAAAAGAAAUAUCCAAGCAAAAUCCACGACCGAAAAAGAAAAAUACUGAUGAAAAUGACACAAAAGCCAGAAUAAAUCGAGCAAAAGAUGAAUCCUGCAUUGUUAAAAUAAUCUGCCAUGGAUGUGAACAUUUAAAAUAUACUAAGUCCAGUGGUUUUCAUAGUGGAAAAGUUUGGAUUCCAGACAGCUUAAGAAAGAAUUUGAAUGUGGAAGCUUCUGCUGCAGUCAGGAUAAAUUCGUUAAAAUUCAAUCCUUCCCUUCCAUCCAGAAUUCAAUUGCAACCCUUACAAAUGCUGCCACAGGAAAUUAAAAUAGAUGAUGUUAAAUCCUCCUUCCUUUCCUGGCUCAAUGUUGUGAGCUCCGAGGAUUUCCCAUUUUUUGCAGCAUCAACGAAUUUUGUACAAAUACCGAUUGCAGAACGUGAGAUCGAGUUUAUGCUGCUUGUAGAACAACUUUCAGCAAAAUCAAACACAGAAGGAAGUUUAUACUUCUUGUUGUAUCCUGAUUUGGUUAAAGAUAUAUACAUUGAGGUGGUUAUGCAUCCUACAACCAUAGACACUACUGUGGUGCAGACGGUGGAUGAUAUUGACCAGAUUCUACCAUUUUACAAAAUGAGCUGUUUGGGAGGGAUUCAUGAACUUGCUGUGUCAACUUUUGAGCACAUCUCUCUGAGCCUGUUGGGCCACCCACUUUCAUGGGAAGUUGCUUCAGUUGCAAAAGGUCUCCAAAGUGGAGCAGUUCUUCUUACAGGAGUAAAGGGCAGUGGGAAAACUACUUUAGCAAAAGCCAUUUGCAGAGAGGCAUCAGAUAAACUCGAAGCACAUGUGGAAGUUAUUGAUUGUAAAGCCUUGCGAGGUAAAAGGGCUGAAAAUAUCCGAAGGAAAUGGGAAGAUGCUUUUGCAGAGGCAGCAUGGAGACAACCUUCAGUUGUUCUGUUGGAUGACUUGGAUCACAUUACUGGUGCUGUCUCUACUCCAGAACAUGAACACAGUGCUGAAGCUGUUCUUAGCAAACAGCUUUCUCAAACUUUGAAGUAUUUGAUUGCUGUGGCAAUUUCACAAGGGAGUCUUAUUGCAUUAAUAGCCACCAGCAUUUCUGAGUACACUCUGCAUCCGUCUCUCAUUUGUGCGGAAGGAUCCCGCAUAUUUCAAUGCAUUAAGGGUAUUUCACCUCCAAACCAGGAUCAGCGAGUGCAACUCUUAACCUCCGUAAUUCAAAAUAAAACCAUUAUUCCUUUGAAGACAUUAAAAAACAUUGACCUUCAAAAACUGGCUAAAGCAACUGAAGGCUUUGUAGCAAGAGAUUUUGUCAUGCUGAUGGAACGAGCUGUGCACUCGCAUUUAUUGACUAGUAAGAGCAACAAAGAACAAGAUCUAUGUUUGACAACAAUGGAUUUCCUUCAGGCGCUCAAGGGAUUUACACCUACUUCUUUAAGAAAUGCUAACCUACACAAACCAAAAGAUUUGGGUUGGGAUAAAGUGGGAGGGCUGCAGGAAGUAAAGCAAAUUCUUAUGGACACCAUACAACUAUCUGUCAAGUACCCACGGCUGUUUGCUAAACUACCUAUACGUCUGCAGUCUGGAAUCCUGUUGUAUGGGGCACCAGGAACUGGAAAGACAUUACUAGCGAGUGUUGUCGCCAGAGAAAGUGGAAUUAACUUUAUCAGUAUUAAGGGUCCUGAACUUCUGAGUAAAUAUAUUGGUGCAAGUGAGCAGGCAAUUCGUGAUGUUUUCAGCAAGGCACAGGCUGCUAAACCAUGCAUUCUUUUCUUUGAUGAGUUUGAUUCCAUUGCACCUCGCCGUGGUCAUGAUAACACUGGUGUAACUGACAGAGUUGUUAAUCAGCUGCUUACACAACUGGAUGGAGUUGAAGGUUUACAAGGAGUUUAUGUGUUGGCUGCCACAAGUCGCCCAGAUUUGAUUGAUCCUGCUCUGUUACGGCCAGGUCGCCUAGAUAAGUCUGUGUACUGUCCUCCUCCAGAUCAGGUAGCUCGCUAUGAGAUUUUGAAAGCUUUGAGUCAGUCAUUAUCCUUGGCAGAUGAUGUUGAUUUACAGCAAAUAGCAACCAUGACUGAACACUUUACUGGAGCUGACCUGAAAGCUUUGCUCUGCAAUGCCCAGCUGAAUGCACUUCACAGCGCCAUGUCAUCCACUGUAUUCCGGGAUUCAGGUUCCGAUAGUGAUAUGAGCCUAUCCUCCAUGAUCUUCUUGAAUCACAGCAAUGGUUCUGAUGAGUCUACAGGGGAUGUAGAAAGGUGGCUGGAACAGUCUCCAGUUUAUCUGGAUACCAGUGAAAUAUUACCCGAGGAUCCAUGCCCUAACAUCUGGCGCCUUUACUUUGGCAGUUCUUACGAAUCUGAACUUGGAACUGGAACCUCUUCGGAGCUGAACUCUCAAUGUUUGUCGGGACCAAAUUCAAUGACUCUUGAUCACACAAUCACAUCUGUUAGGGAUACCAUUUCUUCUUAUGCCCCUGCUUUUAUGACAUCAUUGCAAGAAGGAUACCAAGACCUUUCUCAAGAGCAAGUGGAACUUCUACGCUUUGAGCUAAAUGUAAUUAAAGCAAACACAAGGAACAAGAAAAUGGACGGUCCUUCCCACAGUCAGUCAGGACCUAUAAGCUCUUUGCAAUUUAUCUGUCAAUCCCACCUGCUGACAGCAUUGACAAAUACAAGACCUUCCAUUAGUCAGCAAGAAUGGCGCAACUUUGUAGAACUGUAUGAUGGCUUUCAAAAAUCUCGAGACACCAAGCAGCAGAGCGGAGUCAUUAAGGCUGGACAGAGAGUUACCUUGGCAUAAAAUUAACAGGAAGGAAAACGUGGAGAGUAUGAGUUGUGUUGAAGACAACCAUGCAAACACAAGGCCGCAAAAACAAGACCAGAACCAUAAGAGGGGAAAAUGAUGAAGAAAAUAAAUGGAGACAAGGACCGCAGAUGAAGGAAACGCACGGGUUCACAAGUCAAUGAAUGUUUAAAGUUAGUGAGGUUGAUGCAAGAUCACAGCUGCUUUUCAUUUAACUCAACACAAUUGAGGACUUACAGACCAGAAGUGAAUGGCACUUAAUCUAACAUCGUCUUCCUUCUCCACGAAGGGCGUUAUCGUUUCCACAUAACACUGCAUCUUCAUAAGCUAAAGGCACAGUGAAACUCCACCAGGACCAUCGCUAAACCAUUUACCAUCAAUUAACAAGAAGAACUGACAACAUACUUGAGGGAACUAAUGACUGGAAGAGAGGUGAGCAAAGAGGAGAAAU